rnacentral:rRNA from 1 species
CAGUCGCCGCGGUAAUACGAGGGGGGCAAGCGUUGUUCGGAAUUAUUGGGCGUAAAGGGUGCGUAGGCGGUUUGGCAAGUCUUGUGUGAAAUCUUCGGGCUCAACCCGAAGCCUGCACGAGAAAUUGCCGGGCUUGAGUAUUGGAGAGGUGAGUGGAAUUUCCGGUGUAGCGGUGAAAUGCGUAGAUAUCGGAAGGAACACCUGUGGCGAAAGCGGCUCACUGGACAAUUACUGACGCUGAGGCACGAAAGCUAGGGGAGCAAACAGGAUUAGAUACCCGCGUAGUCCCUGUCUCUUAUAC